UUAAGAGUUUGAUCCUAGCUCAGGAUGAACGCUGGCGGCGUGGAUAAGGCAUGCAAGUCGAGCGACGUGACUUCGGUCACGGAGCGGCAGACGAGGUAGUAACACGUAGGAACGUGCCUCUAAGACGGGUAUAACUAGCUGAAAGGUUAGCUAAUUCCCGAUAGUCCCUUCGGGGUAAAGGAGCAAUCCGCUUAGAGAUCGGCCUGCGAGCUAUCAGCUUGUUGGUAAGGUAAUGGCUUACCAAGGCGAUGACGGCUAGGGGAGGUGAGAGCCUGACCCCCACCGAUGGCACUGAGACACGGGCCAUACACCUACGGGUGGCCGCAGUCGAGAAUAUUCCACAAUGGGCGAAAGCCUGAUGGAGCGACGCCGCGUGCAGGAUGAAGUCUUUCGGGAUGUAAACUGCUUUUAUGAGGGAGAAAUUACGAUGAUGUUACCUCACGAAUAAGGGGCUGCUAAACUCGUGCCAGCAGCAGCGGUAAUACGAGUGCCCCGAGCGUUAUCCGAAAUUACUGGGCGUAAAGGGUUUGUAGGCGGUUUUGUUAGUCUCUUGUUAAAGCUUCCGGCUUAACCGGAAAAAUGCAAGAGAAACGGCAAAACUAGAGGAUGCGAGAGGUCUAUGGAACUCAUGGUGUAGGGGUGAAAUCCGUUGAUAUCAUGGGGAACACCAAAAGCGAAGGCAAUAGACUGGCGCACUCCUGACGCUGAAAAACGAAAGCGUGGGUAGCGAAUGGGAUUAGAUACCCCAGUAGUCCACGCCCUAAACGAUCUUCUCUAGCUUUUUGGAGUAUCGACCCUCCGGGAGGCGAAGCUAACGCGUUAAGAGAAGCGCCUGGGAAGUACGGUCGCAAGACUAAAACUCAAAGGAAUAGACGGGGACUUGCACAAGCGGUGGAUCAUGCGGUUUAAUUCGAUGAUAAACGAAGAACCUUACCAGGGUUUGAAACCCAAGCGAAGUCCGUCAGAAACGGCGGACGUCUCACAAGGACGGUUGGGCAGGUGAUGCAUGGCUGUCGUCAGUUCGUGGUUUGAAUUGUUCCCUUAAGUGGGGUAACGAACGCAACCCCCGUUGCCUGUUAUAUGUUUCAGGCGAGACUGCNNNNNNNNNNNNNNNNNNNNNNNNNNNNNNNNNNNNNNNGCGGGGAUGACGCCAAGUCAGCAUGUCCCUUUGACGCCCUGGGCUACACGCAUGAUACAAUGGUCGGUACAAUGGGUCGCGAAACGGUAACGUGGAGCCAAUCCCAUCAAAGCCGAUCUCAGUCCGGAUUGAGGUCUGCAACUCGACCUCAUGAAGUUGGAAUCGCUAGUAAUCGCAGGUCAGCUAUACUGCGGUGAAUACGUUCUCAAGUCUUGUACUCAC
rnacentral:rRNA from 1 species